GCCUGUGUAGCUUUGUCGAGAAAACAACCGCCUAUGAAGCGGUAGCACUCGGGUUCGAGCCACGGUGAAGACA